rnacentral:rRNA from 1 species
AUAAGCGUAUAUUAAAGUUGUUGCGGUUAAAAAGCUCGUAGUUGGAUCUCAGUUCGAGGCUGGCGGUCCACCGUUCGGUGGCUACUGCCUAGCGCUCAACAUCCUGCCGGUUUUCCCUUGGUGCUCUUCAUUGAGUGUCUCGGGUGCCCGGCACGUUUACUUUGAAAAAAUUAGAGUGCUCAAAGCAGGCGUUUAGCCUGAAUAAUGGUGCAUGGAAUAAUGAAAUAGGAUCUCGGUUCUAUUUUGUUGGUUUUCGGAACACGAAGUAAUGAUUAAAAGGGACAGACGGGGGCAUUCGUAUUGCGACGCUAGAAGUGAAAUUCUUGGACCGUCGCAAGACGAACUACUGCGAAAGCAUUUGCCAAGAAUGUUU